AGUGAACGCUGGCGAUAGGCCUAACACAUGCAAGUCGAACGGCAGCACAGUAAGAGCUUGCUCUUACGGGUAGCGAGUGGCGGACGGGUGAGGAAUACAUCGGAAUCUACUUUUUCGUGGGGGAUAACGUAGGGAAACUUACGCUAAUACCGCAUACGACCUACGGGUGAAAGCAGGGGAUCUUCGGACCUUGCGCGAUUGAAUGAGCCGAUGUCGGAUUAGCUAGUUGGCGGGGUAAAGGCCCACCAAGGCGACGAUCCGUAGCUGGUCUGAGAGGAUGAUCAGCCACACUGGAACUGAGACACGGUCCAGACUCCUACGGGAGGCAGCAGUGGGGAAUAUUGGACAAUGGGCGCAAGCCUGAUCCAGCCAUACCGCGUGGGUGAAGAAGGCCUUCGGGUUGUAAAGCCCUUUUGUUGGGAAAGAAAAGCAGCAGGUUAAUACCCCGCUGUUCUGACGGUACCCAAAGAAUAAGCACCGGCUAACUUCGUG
rnacentral:rRNA from 1 species